ACUCCUACGGGAGGCAGCAGUGGGGAAUAUUGCACAAUGGGCGCAAGCCUGAUGCAGCCAUGCCGCGUGUGUGAAGAAGGCCUUCGGGUUGUAAAGCACUUUCAGUCGUGAGGAAGGCGGGUACGUUAAUAGCGUAUUCGUUUGACGUUAGCGACAGAAGAAGCACCGGCUAACUCCGUGCCAGCAGCCGCGGUAAUACGGAGGGUGCGAGCGUUAAUCGGAAUUACUGGGCGUAAAGCGCAUGCAGGUGGUUUGUUAAGUCAGAUGUGAAAGCCCGGGGCUCAACCUCGGAAUAGCAUUUGAAACUGGCAGACUAGAGUACUGUAGAGGGGGUAGAAUUUCAGGUGUAGCGGUGAAAUGCGUAGAGAUCUGAAGGAAUACCGGUGGCGAAGGCGGCCCCCGUGGACAGAUACUGACACUCAGAUGCGAAAGCGUGGGAGCAAACAGGAUUAGAUACCCCGUGGUAGGACAGUG
rnacentral:rRNA from 1 species